GAUGAACGCUGGCGGCGUGCCUAAUACAUGCAAGUCGAGCGAACAGACGAGGAGCUUGCUCCUCUUACGUUAGCGGCGGACGGGUGAGUAACACGUGGAUAACCUACCUAUAAGACUGGGAUAACUUCGGGAAACCGGAGCUAAUACCGGAUAAUAUAUUGAACCGCAUGGUUCAAUAGUGAAAGACGGUUUUGCUGUCACUUAUAGAUGGAUCCGCGCCGCAUUAGCUAGUUGGUAAGGUAACGGCUUACCAAGGCAACGAUGCGUAGCCGACCUGAGAGGGUGAUCGGCCACACUGGAACUGAGACACGGUCCAGACCCCUACGGGAGGCAGCAGUAGGGAAUCUUCCGCAAUGGGCGAAAGCCUGACGGAGCAACGCCGCGUGAGUGAUGAAGGUCUUCGGAUCGUAAAACUCUGUUAUUAGGGAAGAACAAAUGUGUAAGUAACUAUGCACGUCUUGACGGUACCUAAUCAGAAAGCCACGGCUAACUACGUG
rnacentral:rRNA from 1 species